GGCGGGGGCCAAGCGGAGCCCGGCCCCGGCGGUGGCGGUGGCAGCAGCGCAGGACGCAGAGGAGGGUGAUGAGGGACCUAACACAAUUGUGAUCUGCAUGGUCAUCUUACUGAACAUUGGUCUGGCCAUCCUAUUUGUACAUUUUUUGACAUGAGGUCCCCCUCGGACAAGGCGUUGCUGCUCACUGAGACCAUGGACCUUGGUGGGGAUUUAAUCUCAGUCACCUGGAAACACCUAUGAGAAGGACUUGAGAUCCCAAGGUUGCACUGCAAACAUGAACCUUAAG